GACGAACGCUGGCGGCGUGCUUAACACAUGCAAGUCGAACGGCAAGGCCCUGCUUUUGUGGGGUGCUCGAGUGGCGAACGGGUGAGUAACACGUGAGUAACCUGCUCUUGACUUUGGGAUAACUUCAGGAAACUGGGGCUAAUACCGGAUAGGAGCUCCUGUUGCAUGGUGGGGGUUGGAAAGUUUCGGCGGUCGGGGAUGGACUCGCGGAUUAUCAGCUUGUUGGUGGGGUAGUGGCUUACCAAGGCUUUGAAGGGUAGCCGGCCUGUGAGGGUGGCCGGCCACAAUGGGACUGCGGGACGGCCCAGACUCGAACGUGAGGCAACAGUGGGGAAUAUUGCACAGUGGGCGGAAGCCUGAUGCAACGACGUCGCGGGCGUGAUGACGGCCUUCGGGUUGUAAACCGCAUUCGCCUAUGACGAAGCGUUAGUGACGGUAAUGGGUAAAGAAGCACCGGCUAACUACGUG
rnacentral:rRNA from 1 species